AAGCGCUGGCAACCAGACUUGCGCAGGGUCGAUCAUCCGGUGUUCGCACCGGUGCACUCGGCCCCGUGCAGGCCAGCAUCGGUCUAGACGGUUGGAUAAAGGCCUUGGGAAUGUGACUCUCUUCGGGGAGUGUUAUAGCCCAAGGUGCAAUGCAGC
rnacentral:rRNA from 1 species